rnacentral:tRNA from 1 species
GUCCUUAUCGUCCAGUGGUUAGGACGUUGCGUUUUGGCCGCGACAACCCAGGUUUGACUCUUGGUGACA